CAACUACUCCCUCUGUCCCAAAUUUCUUGUCUUAGAUUUGUCUAGAUACGGAUGUAUCUAAUACUAAAAUGUGACUUGAUACAUUCGUAUCUAGACAAAUCAAAGAAAAGAAUUUUGGGACGGAGGGAGUACUCU
rnacentral:pre_miRNA from 1 species